CCGCGCCCGCUACCUGACCGUCACGGCGAUCAGGUCUGUGCGAAUUGAAUCUGGUCGUGCCGCUGGCCUUUCAGGCCACCGCCAUGCGCAUCACGGAAACCUCCAGCGGAAUGGCUGGACAGGUCCGGCGCAGUUUCCUGGCUGAGCAAUCGGCUGGGCGACGUAGAUAGCACGAUAGGUCG
rnacentral:ncRNA from 1 species